GAUGAACGCUAGCGGCAGGCCUAAUACAUGCAAGUCGAGGGGUAGAGGAAGCUUGCUUCCUUGAGACCGGCGCACGGGUGCGUAACGCGUAUGCAACCUACCUUUUACAGAGGGAUAGCCCAGAGAAAUUUGGAUUAAUACCUCAUAGUAUAUAGUCUUCGCAUGUUGACUAUAUUAAAGUUCCAACGGUAAAAGAUGGGCAUGCGUCCUAUUAGCUAGAUGGUAAGGUAACGGCUUACCAUGGCAACGAUAGGUAGGGGUCCUGAGAGGGAGAUCCCCCACACUGGUACUGAGACACGGACCAGACUCCUACGGGAGGCAGCAGUGAGGAAUAUUGGACAAUGGGCGCAAGCCUGAUCCAGCCAUGCCGCGUGCAGGAAGAAGCAUCUAUGGUGUGUAAACUGCUUUUGUACAGGAAGAAACACCCCGACGUGUCGGGACUUGACGGUACUGUAAGAAUAAGGAUCGGCUAACUCCGUGCCAGCCGCCGCAGUAA
rnacentral:rRNA from 1 species